AUUAGAUACCCUGGUAGUCCACGCCGUAAACGAUGUCGAUUUGGAGGUUGUGCCCUUGAGGCGUGGCUUCCGGAGCUAACGCGUUAAAUCGACCGCCUGGGGAGUACGGCCGCAAGGUUAAAACUCAAAUGAAUUGACGGGGGCCCGCACAAGCGGUGGAGCAUGUGGUUUAAUUCGAUGCAACGCGAAGAACCUUACCUGGUCUUGACAUCCACAGAACUUUCCAGAGAUGGAUUGGUGCCUUCGGGAACUGUGAGACAGGUGCUGCAUGGCUGUCGUCAGCUCGUGUUGUGAAAUGUUGGGUUAAGUCCCGCAACGAGCGCAACCCUUAUCCUUUGUUGCCAGCGGUCCGGCCGGGAACUCAAAGGAGACUGCCAGUGAUAAACUGGAGGAAGGUGGGGAUGACGUCAAGUCAUCAUGGCCCUUACGACCAGGGCUACACACGUGCUACAAUGGCAUAUACAAAGAGAAGCGACCUCGCGAGGGCAAGCGGACCUCAUAAAGUAUGUCGUAGUCCGGAUUGGAGUCUGCAA
rnacentral:rRNA from 1 species